rnacentral:rRNA from 1 species
UACGGAGGAUGCGAGCGUUAUCCGGAUUUAUUGGGUUUAAAGGGUGCAUAGGCGGCUUUUUAAGUCAGCGGUGAAAUUUUGCAGCUUAACUGUAACAGUGCCGUUGAUACUGGGGAGCUAGGAUUUGGUUGCUGUGGGUGGAAUGUGUGGUGUAGCGGUGAAAUGCUUAGAGAUCACACAGAAUAUCGAUUGCGAAGGCAGCUCACAAAGCCAAGAUUGACGCUGAGGCACGAAAGUGUGGGGAUCAAACAGGA